rnacentral:rRNA from 1 species
CAGGCCUAACACAUGCAAGUCGAACGAUACCUUUCGGGGUAUAGUGGCGCACGGGUGCGUAACGCGUGGGAAUCUGCCCUGGGGUUCGGGAUAACCGUUGGAAACGACGGCUAAUACCGGAUGAUGAUGAAAAUCCAAAGAUUUAUCGCCCUGGGAUGAGCCCGCGUCGGAUUAGCUAGUUGGUGGGGUAAAGGCCUACCAAGGCGACGAUCCGUAGCUGGUCUGAGAGGAUGAUCAGCCACACUGGGACUGAGACACGGCCCAGACUCCUACGGGAGGCAGCAGUGGGGAAUAUUGGACAAUGGGCGCAAGCCUGAUCCAGCAAUGCCGCGUGAGUGAUGAAGGCCCUAGGGUUGUAAAGCUCUUUUACCCGGGAUGAUAAUGACAGUACCGGGAGAAUAAGCUCCGGCUAACUCCGUGCCAGCAGCCGCGGUAAU